CCUACGGGCGGCUGCAGUGGGGAAUAUUGGACAAUGGGCGCAAGCCUGAUCCAGCCAUGCCGCGUGUGUGAAGAAGGCCUUCGGGUUGUAAAGCACUUUUGUCCGGAAAGAAAUCCCUGGAGCUAAUACCUUCGGGGGAUGACGGUACCGGAAGAAUAAGCACCGGCUAACUUCGUGCCAGCAGCCGCGGUAAUACGAAGGGUGCAAGCGUUACUCGGAAUUACUGGGCGUAAAGCGUGCGUAGGCGGUUCGUUAAGUCUGAUGUGAAAUCCCCGGGCUCAACCUGGGACGUGCAUUGGAAACUGGCGAUCUAGAGUACGGUAGAGGGUGGUGGAAUUCCCGGUGUAGCAGUGAAAUGCGUAGAGAUCGGGAGGAACACUCGUGGCGAAGGCGGCCACCUGGACCAGUACUGACGCUGAGGCACGAAAGCGUGGGGAGCAAACAGGAUUAGAUACCCCAGUAGUC
rnacentral:rRNA from 2 species